GUGCCAGCCGCCGCGGUAAUACGGAGGGUGCGAGCGUUGUCCGGAAUCAUUGGGCGUAAAGGGCGCGUAGGUGGCCCGGUCAGCGUGCGGUGAAAGCUCGGGGCUCAACCCCGAGUCGGCCGUGCGAACUGCUGGGCUCGAGCACUGUAGAGGCAGGCGGAAUUCCGGGUGUAGCGGUGGAAUGCGUAGAGAUCCGGAAGAACACCGGUGGCGAAGGCGGCCUGCUGGGCAGUAGCUGACACUGAGGCGCGACAGCGUGGGGAGCAAACAGGAUUAGAAACCCUUGUAGUCC
rnacentral:rRNA from 1 species